UACGAAGGGGGCUAGCGUUGCUCGGAAUUACUGGGCGUAAAGCGCACGUAGGCGGCUUUCUAAGUCGGGGGUGAAAUCCUGGAGCUCAACUCCAGAACUGCCUUCGAUACUGGAGAGCUUGAGUCCGGGAGGAGGUGAGUGGAACUGCGAGUGUAGAGGUGAAAUUCGGUAGAUAUUCGCAAGAACACCAGUGGCGAAAGGCAGGCCUCAGCUGG
rnacentral:rRNA from 1 species